CUUGUCAUCCCAGUGGUGGCCACAGUGACCUCUCCUUUUCCUUGUCCUGGUGGGAGGUGACCUCCUUGUGUCCUUGUCCUGGUGGUGGAUGACCUCUCCCUCUCCACGUCUGGACAAUAGGUGACCUCUCCCUCUCCUCAUCCCUGUGGGAGGUGACCUCCUCUCCCUGUCCUGGUGGUGGGUGACGUCUCCCUCUCCUCAUCCUGGUGAUCAGUGACCUCUCCCUCUCCAUGUCCUGUCCAUAGGUGACAUCUCCCUCUCCUCAUCCUGGUGACCAGUGACCUCUCCCUCUCCUCAUCCUGGUGACCAGUGACUUUUCCCUCUCCUUGUCCUGGUGGGAGAUGACCUCCCCCUCUCCUCAUCCUGGUGACCAGUGACCUCUCCCUGUCCUUGUCAUGGUGAUCAGUGACCUUUCCCUCUCCUCAUCCUGGUGAUCACUGACCUCCUCUUCUCCAUGUCCUGGCAGUGGGUGACCUCUCCCUGUUCUCAUCCUGCCCUCCACCCCUGCUCACUUUGUCCCUCCUGUCCCCCGACACAGGGACCGUGCGCCGUUUGUCUUCACCUCAGACAUGGCGUAUGUCAUCAACGGCGGGGACAAACCCUCCAGCCGCUUCCACGACUUCGUGGACCUGUGCUGCCAGGCCUACAACCUGAUCCGCAAGCACACCCACCUCUUCCUCAACCUGCUGGGGCUGAUGCUGUCCUGCGGCAUCCCCGAGCUCUCCGACCUGGAGGACCUCAAGUACGUCUACGACGCGCUGAGGCCGCAGGACUCUGAUGCUGAUGCCACCACCUACUUCACCAGGUAGGGGACACCAGGGUGGGUGACACAGCAGCAGGAGGCUCCCUCGGAUGGUGGUGUCACAGAUGUGUUUUAUGAAAAAUCCUCUUCUUAGGAUUUUUUGUCCUGAGAAGCUGAGAGGCCUCAGGAACAAAAUGUAACCAAUGGUUAUCUGCUGCUGUGGGAUGCAACAGGUGCAUCUGUGAUUGGUCUCAUGUGGUUGUUUCUAAUUAAUGGCCAAUCAUAGUCCAGCUGGCUCGGACUCUCUGAGAGUCAGGAGAUUUUGUUAUUCAUUCAAUUUUUUCCCUUUGUUUGCAAGCCUUCUGAUGAAA
rnacentral:lncRNA from 1 species